rnacentral:rRNA from 1 species
AGUUAACGCUGGCGGCGUGCCUAACACAUGCAAGUCGAGCGGAGUGUCAGCUGUAGCAAUACAGUAUGUGCUCAGCGGCAGACGGGUGAGUAAUACGUAGACAACCUUCCUUUUAGAGGGGGAUAGCCUGCCGAAAGGCGGGGUAAUACCGCGUACGAUCACGGACCGGCAUCGGUUCGGGAUGAAACAUCCGCAAGGAUGGCUAGAAGACGGGUCUACGGCCUAUCAGCUUGUUGGUGAGGUAACAGCUCACCAAGGCUAAGACGGGUAACCGGCCUGAAAGGGUGGACGGUCACACUGACACUGGGACACGGGUCAGGACACCUACGGGAGGCAG